rnacentral:rRNA from 1 species
AACAAACGCUGGCGGCGUGCCUAACACAUGCAAGUCGUACGAGAAAGGGUCCUUCGGGGCCUGAGUAAAGUGGCGCACGGGUGAGUAACGCGUGGAUAAUCUGCCCUUCAGUUGGGAAUAACUCAUCGAAAGGUGGGCUAAUACCGAAUAAUGCUGUGAGACCUCGGUUGAUCAGCCAAAGAGAGCCUCUGCUUGCAAGCCCUCGCUGAAGGAUGAGUCCGCGUACCAUUAGCUAGUUGGUAGGGUAAUGGCCUACCAAGGCGACGAUGGUUAGCUGGUCUGAGAGGAUGAUCAGCCCCACUGGAACUGAGACACGGGCCAGACUCCUACGGGAGGCAGCAGUGAGGAAUCUUGCGCAAUGGGGGCAACCCUGACGCAGCAACGCCGCGUGAGUGAGGAAGGUCUUCGGAUCGUAAAGCUCUGUCGGAUGGAAAGAACCGCAUAGGGGUAAACAGCCCCUGUGUCUGACGGUACCAUCAAAGGAAGCACCGGCUAACUCCGUGCCAGCAGCCGCCGCCGUAA